UAUUUUUGUGUAUGGUGUGAGGGAGUGUUCUAACUUCAUUGAUUUACAUGUAGCCGUUCACCUUUCCCAACACCACUUACUGAAGAGAUGGUCUUUUCUCCAUUGUAUAUUCUGGCCUCCUGUGUCAAAGAUUAAUUGACCAAAAGUUUGUGGAA